rnacentral:rRNA from 1 species
GUUUGAUUCUGGCUCAGAUUGAACGCUGGCGGGAUGCUUUACAUGCAAGUCGAACGGCAGCACGGACUUCGGUCUGGUGGCGAGUGGCGAACAGGUGAGUAAUGUAUCGGAACGUGCCUGUAGCGGGGGAUGCUGCGAAAGCGUAGCUAAUACCACAUACGCCCUUCGGGGAAAGCGGGGACCUUCGGGCCUCGCACUAUUAGAGCGGCCGAUAUCGGAUUAGCUAGUUGGUGGGGGGUAACGGCUCACCAAAGGCGGUGAUCGUAGCUGGUUUGAAGGACGACCAGCCACACUGGGACUGAAGUUACGGCCCAGACUCCUACGGGAGGCAGCAGUAGAAAUUUUGGACAAUGAGGAAACCUGGUCAGCCAUCCGCGUGUGCGAUGAAGGCCUUCGGGUUGUAAGCACUUUUGGCAGAAGAAACGGCACGGGAUAAUACCCCCGUGCAACUGACGGUGCGGAAUAAACACGGCUAACUACAAAUUGCCAGCAGCCGCUUGUUAAUACGUAGAGGUGCAAGCGUUAAUCGGAAUUACUGAGGCGUAAAGCAUUAGCAGGCGGUUCGGAAAGAUGUUGAAAUCCCAGAGCUUAACUUUUGGAACUGCAUUUUUUGCUACCGAGCUAGAGUGUGUCAGAGGGAGGUGGAAUUCCGCGUGUAGCGGUGAAAUGCGUGAUAGCACGGAGGAACACCGAUGGCGAAGGCAGCCUCCUGGGAUGUUGCUGACCGCUCAUGCAGCGUGGGGAGCAAGCAGGAUUAGAUACCCUGGUAGUCCACGCCUAAACGAUGUCCUUCGCUAUUUGGGGCCUUCGAGCCUUGGUAGCCGCAACUAACGCGUGAAGUUGACCGCCUGGGGAAUGCACGGUCGCGAAUUAAAACUCAAAGGAAUUGACGGGGACCCGCACAAGCGGUGGAUGAUGUGGAUUAAUUCGAUGCAACGCGAAAAACCUUACCUACCCUUGACCAUGUCUGGAAUCGAAGAGAUUUGGAGUGCUCGCGAAGAACCGGAACACAGGUGCUGCAUGGCCUGUCGUCAGCUCGUGUCGUGAGAUGUUGGGUUAAGUCCCGCAACGAGCGCAACCCUUGUCAUUAGUUGCUACGAAAGGGCACUCUAAUGAGACUGCCGGUGACAAACCGGAGAGAGUCAGGGAUGACGUCAAGUCCUCAUGGCCCUUAUGGUGGGGCUUUACACGUCAUACAAUGGUCGGGACAGAGGGUCGCCAGCCUUACGAGGGAGCCAAUCCCAGAAACCCGAUCGUAGUCGGAUCGCCAGUCUACAACUCGACUGCGUGAAGUCGGAAUCGCUAGUAAUCGCGGAUCAGCAUGUCGCGGUGAAUACGUUCCGGAAUCUUGUACACACCGCCGUCACCAUGGGAGUGGGUUUACCAGAAGUAGUUAGCCUAACCGUAAGGAGGGCGGUGCCACGGCCGGAUUCUUGACCCGGGGUGAAGUCGUAGCUAAGGCAG